CCUACGGGAGGCAGCAGUGGGGAAUAUUGCACAAUGGGGGAAACCCUGAUGCAGCGACGCCGCGUGAGUGAAGAAGUAUUUCGGUAUGUAAAGCUCUUUCAGCAGGGAAGAAAAUGACGGUACCUGACCAAGAAGCCCCGGCUAACUACGUGCCAGCAGCCGCGGUAAUACGUAGGGGGCAAGCGUUAUCCGGAUUUACUGGGUGUAAAGGGAGCGUAGACGGCAGGGCAAGUCUGGAGUGAAAGGCGGGGGCUCAACCCGCGGACUGCUCUGGAAACUGCCAGGCUGGAGUGCAGGAGAGGUAAGUGGAAUUCCUGGUGUAGCGGUGAAAUGCGUAGAUAUUAGGAAGAACACCAGUGGCGAAGGCAGCUUACUGAACUGUAACUGACGUUGAGGCUCGAAAGCGUGGGGAGCAAACAGGAUUAGAUACCCUGGUAGUC
rnacentral:rRNA from 1 species